GGCAAAGUUGGCAUGUGAUACCUUUUUGGAAAGCCCAAAGAGAGCUCUCCAAUUAAUGAGGAAGGAAAAUGAAAUUCUUCUAUUGUUUUUUUUUCUACGCCAAAUUUUGACCUUAAUGUAAUUUUUUGGGCCUUUCCGUGUUUUUUGCCUUAUUACGGGGCACAAAUUAUAUGUUCGGCCAUUGUUUUCGAAUAUUUUACAUGUAUCAAAGCUCUUAUAAACAAGAUAGGGUAUUCCUACAUAUCUGGUGGGACCCACAGCAAAUGGAUCAUAAAGUCUUCAAAAAAGAAUAGAUACGAUUGCAUUCCAUGUAGUAACAGAUGCGAUCAUACCAGCACUAAUGCACCGGAUCCCAUCAAAACUCCACAGUUAAGCGUGCUUGGGCGAGAGUAGUACGAGGAUGGGUGACCUCACGGAAAGUCCUCGUGUUGCAUCCCUCUUUUUUCGGUUUUCCUCUAUUUUGUUUUGUUAAAAAUGUAUGACUCCAUAACUUUUAGACAGUCCUCUAUUUUGUUUUGUUAAAAAUGUAUGACUCCAUAACUUUUAGACA
rnacentral:rRNA from 1 species